UCGUGAAUCUUCCGCAAUGGGCGAAAGCCUGACGGAGCGACACCGCGUGUAGGAUGAAGGCCUUCGGGUUGUAAACUACUGUCACGUUCUAGGAACUGCUCGGCGUGAAUAGCGCCGAGCUCGACCAAGACGGGAGGAAGCACCGGCUAACUCUGUGCCAGCAGCCGCGGUAAGACAGAGGGUGCAAACGUUGUUCGGAAUUACUGGGCAUAAAGCGCACGUAGGUGGUCCGCUAAGUCGCGUGUGAAAUCCCUCGGCUCAACCGAGGAAUUGCGGGCGAUACUGGCGGGCUAGAGAUCGGGAGGGGUGAGUGGAACUCCAGGUGGAGCGGUGAAAUGCGUAGAUAUCUGGAGGAACACCGGUGGCGAAAGCGACUCACUGGCCCGACACUGACACUGAGGUGCGAAAGCUAGGGUAGCAAACGGG
rnacentral:rRNA from 1 species